rnacentral:tRNA from 1 species
AUUUAAAUAGUUUAAAUAUAAAAUUUUGAUUUGUGGAAUCAAAGAUAUAAAAUAUUAUUUUAAAUU